rfam:Triticum aestivum genome assembly, contig: Triticum_aestivum_CS42_TGACv1_scaffold_030616_1BL
UAAACGGAGUUAUUUAACUCUACAUAUGGAGACAUAUAAAAGCUA